ACUUUUCCCUCCUUUUGCUCCUGGUCUCUUCUGCUCCUGCACUCAAAGCUGGGGCCCACUGUGGCUCACAGUGGAGAUGCGGGCCCCAGGGGAACCAGAUCCCCAGAACCAUCAAGGAUAAGUUAGAACCUUUCAGAACCGAACGGCUGCAAACAGACCUUUUGUAACACAUUUUUCUUGAUUUUCAGAUCUUUUAGAGCCAAACUGGAUGAGGACCAUGCCCUGGCUGUGAGACUGAGGAAAAGACCCCCUGACUGCAGAGCUGCAAAACUGGAUGAAACUCAAGCUUUCCAAAUGGACAUGGAAAAAGCUUUGCAGGCGACUGUCUUUGGCAGGUGGGCAGCUGUCCACAGAUUACCACUUCGACCACACAUGCUGCUUAGAUCCUGUUCUGUGCCACUGGCCUGCCCACCAGCCUCUCAGUUACUGCUGGGAGCCACAAACUAGGUCCGUCUCUCUGCUUCACUCCCCCUGGCUUGGUCCCCAUGCUUGGCGGUAAGCACUUCUCUCUCUCUCUCUCUACCAUUAUCCUGUGCUAUGUCUAACUACCUACCUCUCAACAGUAGAUCAAACAAGCCCUGGUCACACGUACUCCCUUGGCAGGUCUUCGCUGUGGAGAACCCUUUUCUAUUUCUCCUGUCAUUAAUUUAAUUAGCGCCUUAAACUGCCUUUGCCUCCCAA